CAGGAAGUCAUGAUAAGUGAAAAGGAACUUUUGUUAUCGUUAUCUAGGUUUGUAGUUCUCAAUUCCAUGUGUUCAUUCAUAGAUAUUGCAUGACAUUGAAACAGACAAAAUAUUAAUUAAUGUAUAUGACGGUCCACCUCUGUAUGAUGAUGUGAAAGUGCAGUUUUUCUCUUCGAGAGAAAUUUAGAUAUUUUAUUAAACUUGGAUGUCAUUAAUUCCAUAUAAAGCAAUGCUAAGAGAGUCAGCAUGUGUUACUGAUGUGUUGCUGAAGAUUAAAGUAUUUUUAAGUCUCACUAAAAAGGUGGAAGGAG
rnacentral:lncRNA from 1 species